UACGUAGGGGUGCAAGCGUUAAUCGGAAUUACUGGGCGUAAAGCGUGCGCAGGCGGUUGUGCAAGACAGAUGUGAAAUCCCCGGGCUCAACCUGGGAAUUGCAUUUGUGACUGCACGGCUAGAGUGUGUCAGAGGGGGUAGAAUUCCACGUGUAGCAGUGAAAUGCGUAGAGAUGUGGAGGAAUACCGAUGGCGAAGGCAGCCCCCUGGGAUAACACUGACGCUCAUGCACGAAAGCGUGGGGAGCAAACAGG
rnacentral:rRNA from 1 species